AUUGAACGCUGGCGGCAUGCCUUACACAUGCAAGUCGAACGGCAGCACGGGUGCUUGCACCUGGUGGCGAGUGGCGAACGGGUGAGUAAUACAUCGGAACAUGUCCUGUAGCGGGGGAUAGCCCGGCGAAAGCCGGAUUAAUACCGCAUACGAUCUACGGAUGAAAGCGGGGGACCUUCGGGCCUCGCGCUAUAGGGUUGGCCGAUGGCUGAUUAGCUAGUUGGUGGGGUAAAGGCCUACCAAGGCGACGAUCAGUAGCUGGUCUGAGAGGACGACCAGCCACACUGGGACUGAGACACGGCCCAGACUCCUACGGGAGGCAGCAGUGGGGAAUUUUGGACAAUGGGCGAAAGCCCGAUCCAGCAAUGCCGCGUGUGUGAAGAAGGCCUUCGGGUUGUAAAGCACUUUUGUCCGGAAAGAAAUCCUUGGCCCUAAUACGGUCGGGGGAUGACGGUACCGGAAGAAUAAGCACCGGCUAACUACGUG
rnacentral:rRNA from 1 species